rnacentral:rRNA from 1 species
AGCGAACGCUGGCGGCAGGCUUAACACAUGCAAGUCGAGCGGGCGUAGCAAUACGUCAGCGGCAGACGGGUGAGUAACGCGUGGGAACGUACCUUUUGGUUCGGAACAACACAGGGAAACUUGUGCUAAUACCGGAUAAGCCCUUACGGGGAAAGAUUUAUCGCCGAAAGAUCGGCCCGCGUCUGAUUAGCUAGUUGGUGAGGUAAUGGCUCACCAAGGCGACGAUCAGUAGCUGGUCUGAGAGGAUGAUCAGCCACAUUGGGACUGAGACACGGCCCAAACUCCUACGGGAGGCAGCAGUGGGGAAUAUUGGACAAUGGGCGCAAGCCUGAUCCAGCCAUGCCGCGUGAGUGAUGAAGGCCCUAGGGUUGUAAAGCUCUUUUGUGCGGGAAGAUAAUGACGGUACCGCAAGAAUAAGCCCCGGCUAACUUCGUGCCAGCCGCCGCAGUAACAC